rnacentral:rRNA from 1 species
UACGUAGGGUGCAAGCGUUAAUCGGAAUUACUGGGCGUAAAGCGCACGUAGGCGGCUUUGUAAGUUAGAGGUGAAAGCCCGGGGCUCAACUCCGGAAUUGCCUUUAAGACUGCAUCGCUAGAAUUGUGGAGAGGUAAGUGGAAUUCCGAGUGUAGAGGUGAAAUUCGUAGAUAUUCGGAAGAACACCAGUGGCGAAGGCGACUCACUGGACAUGUAUUGACGCUGAGGUACGAAAGCGUGGGGAGCAAACAGG